rnacentral:rRNA from 1 species
UACGGAGGGGCUAGCGUUGUUCGGAAUUACUGGGCGUAAAGCGCACGUAGGCGGCUUUGUAAGUUAGAGGUGAAAGCCCGGAGCUCAACUCCGGAAUUGCCUUUAAGACUGCAUCGCUUGAAUCCAGGAGAGGUGAGUGGAAUUCCGAGUGUAGAGGUGAAAUUCGUAGAUAUUCGGAAGAACACCAGUGGCGAGGCGGCUCACUGGACUGGUAUUGACGCUGAGGUGGCGAAAAGCGUGGGGAGCAAACAGG